rnacentral:rRNA from 1 species
GACGAACGCUGGCGGCGUGCUUAACACAUGCAAGUCGAACGGAAAGGCCCUGCUUUUGUGGGGUGCUCGAGUGGCGAACGGGUGAGUAACACGUGAGUAACCUGCCCUUGACUUUGGGAUAACUUCAGGAAACUGGGGCUAAUACCGGAUAGGAGCUCCUGCUGCAUGGUGGGGGUUGGAAAGUUUCGGCGGUUGGGGAUGGACUCGCGGCUUACCAGCUUGUUGGUGGGGUAGUGGCUUACCAAGGCUUUGACGGGUAGCCGGCCUGAGAGGGUGACCGGCCACAUUGGGACUGAGAUACGGCCCAGACUCCUACGGGAGGCAGCAGUGGGGAAUAUUGCACAAUGGGCGGAAGCCUGAUGCAGCAACGCCGCGUGCGGGAUGACGGCCUUCGGGUUGUAAACCGCUUUCGCCUGUGACGAAGCGUGAGUGACGGUAAUGGGUAAAGAAGCACCGGCUAACUACG